AUCCAGCUAACGAGUUCCAAAGAGGACGAAACGCGCAUCGAGCUGGAU
rnacentral:hammerhead_ribozyme from 1 species